rnacentral:rRNA from 1 species
UACGUAGGUGGCAAGCGUUGUCCGGAAUUAUUGGGCGGAAAGCGCGCGCAGGCGGUCCUUUAAGUCUGAUGUGAAAGCCCACGGCUCAACCGUGGAGGGUCAUUGGAAACUGGGGGACUUGAGUACAGAAGAGAAGAGUGGAAUUCCACGUGUAGCGGUGAAAUGCGUAGAGAUGUGGAGGAACACCAGUGGCGAAGGCGACUCUUUGGUCUGUAACUGACGCUGAGGCGCGAAAGCGUGGGGAGCAAACAGG